rnacentral:rRNA from 1 species
UAGUCCACGCCGUAAACGAUGGUCACUAGUUGUUGGGGCUUUAUGCCUCAGUGAUUAAGAGAAAUUGAUAAGUGACCCACCUGGGGAGUACGAUCGCAAGAUUGAAACUCAAAGGAAUUGACGGGGGCCCGCACAAGCGGUGGAGCAUGUGGUUUAAUUCGAUGAUACGCGAGGAACCUUACCAGGGCUUAAAUGUAAGUUGCAUAGAUCAGAGAUGGUCUUUUCUUCGGACUACUUACAAGGUGCUGCAUGGUUGUCGUCAGCUCGUGCCGUGAGGUGUCAGGUUAAGUCCUAUAACGAGCGCAACCCCUACCGUUAGUUGCCAGCAAGUAAAGUUGGGGACUCUAGCGGGACUGCCGGUGCAAACCGAGAGGAAGGUGGGGAUGACGUCAAAUCAUCACGGGCCCUUACGUCCUGGGGCUACACACGUGCUACAAUGGUAACGACAGAGGGCAGCCACCCGCGAGGGGGAGCGAAUCCUUAAACGUUAUCUCAGUUCGGGAUCGGGAGUCU